rnacentral:rRNA from 1 species
CCUACGGGUGGCAGCAGUAGGGAAUCUUCCACAAUGGACGAAAGUCUGAUGGAGCAACGCCGCGUGAGUGAAGAAGGGUUUCGGCUCGUAAAGCUCUGUUGGUAGUGAAGAAAGAUAGGGGUAGUAACUGGCCUUUAUUUGACGGUAAUUACUUAGAAAGUCACAGCUAACUACGUGCCAGCAGCCGCGGUAAUACGUAGGUGGCAAGCGUUGUCCGGAUUUAUUGGGCGUAAAGAGAGUGCAGGAGGUUCAAUAAGUCUGAUGUGAAAGACUUCGGCUCAACCGGAGAAUUGCAUCAGAAACUGGUGAACUUGAGUGCAGAAGAGGCGGGUGGAACUCCAGGUGUAGCGGUGGAAUGCGUAGAUAUAUGGAAGAACACCAGUGGCGAAGGCGGCUCUCUGGUCUGCCACUGACGCUGAGGCUCGAAAGCGUGGGUAGCGAACAGGAUUAGAUACCCGGGUAGUC